AAUAAGAUGCCUGAAUAAAGGGUUAUUUUGAUAGAAUAAAUCAAGUAAAAACUAAUUACUCUUAUUA
rnacentral:tRNA from 1 species